AUGCAAACUGCAGGAUUGGCUGCAACACAAAGAGCAGCAGUGCAGCAUGAAGCCGUGGUGCAAACUGCAGUGUUGAGCUGCAGUAGGAACUGUGAGCUGGGUUGCAAUGGGAGUGGCAACAGGAACUGCAGUACAAGCUGCAAGAUUGAUGGUGACAUAAAUUGCACCACGGGUUGCAGUAUAAAUUGCAUCCUGAGCUGCAAGAGAAACUGUGGCCUGAGUUGCAAGGUGAGCUGCAAUAUAAAGUGCAAUAUGGGCUGCAAUGUGAGCUCCAAUGAGAGCUGCAAGAUAAAUUGCAUUAUGGGCUGCAAUAUGGAUCCCAAUGUGAGCUCCAGCAUAAACUGUGCUCUGAGCUGCAAGGUGAGCUGCAAUAUGAAUUGCAAUAUGAGCUGCAAUAUGAGAGGCAGAAUAAAUUGCAGUGUAAGCUGCAAUAGAAAUCACUCUAGGGGUUGCAAUAUAAGUGGCAAUAUGAAUCCCACUGUGCACUCCAAUAUGAGCUGCAAUCUGAGCUGCGAUACAAACUGCAGCAUGGCUUGCAAUAUGAAUUGCAAUACGAGUUGCAGUAUAAAUUGCAGUGUAAGCUGCAGUAUAAAUUGCUAUAUGGGUUGCAAUAUGAAUCCCAACGCGAGCUCCAAUAUGAGAUGCAAUAUAAGCUGCAAUUUGAGUUGCAAUAUGAGCUGUAAUAUAAACUGUGGUCUGAGUUGCAAGCGGAGCUGCAAUAUAAAUUGUAAUAAAGGCUGCAAUGUGAGCCCCAGUGAGAGCUGCAAUAUGAAUUGCAAUAUGGGCUGCGAUAUAAACUGCAGUGUGGGAUGCAAUAGAAACUGCAACAUGGGUUGCAAUAUGAAUGGCAAUCUGAAUCCCAAUGUGCAUGCCAAUACGGGCUGCAAUUUGAGUUGCAAUGUGAGCUGCAAUAUGAAUUGCAAUAUGAGCAGCAAUAUGAACUGCAAUAUGAGCUGCAAUAUGAAUUGCAAUGUGAGCAGCAAUAUGAAUUGCAAUAUGAGCUGCAAUAUAAGUUGCAAUAUGAGCUGCAGUAUGAAUGGCAAUGUGAGCUGCAAUAUGAACUGCAAUGCAAAUUGCAACACGAGCUGCAACCCGUUGCGAUGCAAAUUGCAAUGUGAGCUGCAAUAUGAGUUGCAAUACGGGCUGCAGCCCGAAUCCCUAUGUGCGCUGCAAUAUAAGCUGCAACUUGAGCUGCGAGAUGAGCUGCAACGAGUUGCACUACAAACUGCUGGACGUGCUGCAAUAUAA
rnacentral:lncRNA from 1 species